rnacentral:lncRNA from 13 species
CGCGGGAGGGCACCCGGGGAGGCAGCGGGGCGGGCACGGAGCGACGCCUCCGCCGAGCGGCUUCCCAGCGGCAGCGCUUACCUGCGGGGGAGCCGCGGGCAGCGCCGGGGGGCCGGUAUGGGCGGGCGCGGAGCUGCCGGCGGCACACGGCCAGAGAGCAGCACUCGGGGCUCGGUUCAUGGCUUGAGGUUCCUGGGGCCUCCUUGUGGACAUUUCUACUCCUCCUACCAAGCGGGGUGUAAGAGGUAACGGAAAGGAAACAAAUCCCCAGCUAGUUGUUGAAGGAUGCAGUACCGAGCCGAAGAAAUUUUACACAAGGAGAGGACAUUUGGAGCUGCACCCUGGGCUGCAGUAGGGUUUCAGCAGUACCUUCUCCCUUUCCAGUCUGCUCUGAAUGGCCCACUGCUCCACACUACACUUGUAUCACACCUAUAUGGUACUGAUGCUUUGAGACCUCCCUUGGACUAUCAGCAGUAAUUUUUCCUGGAACUUACUGAACACACUCAGAACAUACCACACUGCUUGCCAGGCUGCUGAGACCUUGCUCCAUUUGUGUCAACACAGCUACAGCUGUGUCCUUUCUCAUUGUCCACAGUGCCUUGGAAGCAAAGGCAAAGGAAGAAGUUUCUGAUAACGACCUCCCAGCAAAGGAAAACACCUGUCACCGUGGCUGUGUACAGAUGGGAACAGAUCACUGACCUCCCUCUCAAACUCCAGCAACUUUUCAUCCUGAAGAGUUUUUGUGCUGCAACCUUGCCAUCAGACAUUAGAUUGCCACUGUGUGAUCCAUCAAAAUCUACACCUGUAAGCUGAGCAUCAGUAAGAAAUGUGAAAAUUUGUCACUGGCUCUUCCAUUCGUGCUUCACUGACCAGCAGCUCAUGUCAAUGAACAUCACAAGUAUGUUGCUUUUAAGCUUCAAAGCAAAGAGACACACAUACACAAUUCUUAGAAAUACGUUUUUGCAAAGACAUUUGUACUUGACCCUCUAAGGGAAGGAACAGCACAAUGAAGCUGUAAGGAUUCUAAAGGAAUUUUUACCUUGAAAACACUGUUGGGAACUGAUCCCAAUGAUUUCAUAGAAACCUCAAGCUGUUUUUAUCCCACUGAGGGACUACUUUUUGUAGUAGUCAAUUAUAAGAAUAAAAUACAUUUUCAAUAUCUGCAAGUUUCCUUCAGGCAUCCCUUCUUGUCAUAUGAUACCCCUCCCCAAAUCCAAACCACAAUAACAACAAAAAAAGGUAAAAAUGUGACUAGAUCUCCGAUUGAAUUCAUACUUUUAUUUGUCAUCAAAUUCAGAAAUUAGAAAGGGAAGAUAUCUUGAGAUCCUGUCCUGCCUCUAGGUACCCAUCUUAUACUUCAAAAAAUUCCAACGCUUCACAUAAUCCCUAUGUAAGAUGACAAACAUUUACUAUCUAUAAGGCAUUUAAACAUCCUUGUGGAGCUCUAACCCUUUUACUGCCCAGCCUGAUGUUAGGUGCUCGUAUUUUACCUUUUCUGUCAGAGACCUUAAAUAAUUCAAUACCUCAAGCCUUCCAAUAAAAACAUUUUUAAAAUGUAUGCAAGACCCACACUUGUAAAACUGUGGUGGUCAAACUCUUUUUUUUUUUUUUUUUUUAAAUAUCAUUAAACACAUCCAGAUCAGCUAUAUACACCUAAGUUGGAGAACAGAAUUGUUUACCAGUUUCUAAUGGAAUGGUUCUUCAAUUCUGAUCUGGGAUAAAUCCUCCUUAUGCAGCA